UGUUAAAUAGCUCACCUGGGAGAGCGUUAGACUAUAGAUCGAAGGGUUCCUGGUUCGAUCCUGUUUCUGUUAC
rnacentral:tRNA from 1 species